CCUAGCUAUAGGCAACUGCCUAGGUUGCCUUAUACCUAAGCAAAUGUUACAUUUCUGGGAGAAAAGUAGGCAGCAGCUGUGGACAUU
rnacentral:snoRNA from 1 species